rnacentral:rRNA from 1 species
UACGUAGGUGACAAGCGUUGUCCGGAUUUACUGGGCGUAAAGAGCGCGCAGGCGGUCGAUCAAGUCGAGUGUGAAAGCCCCCGGCUCAACUGGGGAGGGUCAUUCGAUACUGAUCGACUCGAAGGCAGGAGAGGGUAGUGGAAUUCCCGGUGUAGUGGUGAAAUGCGUAGAUAUCGGGAGGAACACCAGUGGCGAAGGCGACUACCUGGCCUGUUCUUGACGCUGAGGCGCGAAAGCUAGGGGGAGCAAA